AUGCGUGUAUAUUUUGGCGUUGGUCUGGAUUCAGAACAGUUGCGCCCAGCUUCAUUCGGUUGGAGACAGUCGUGUGAAAUGAGAGUCCAGCUACUUGGAUUUUGGAUCUGGUGCCUUUCAGGCACCAACUUUCCAUCAAUCGCAGGAGAGAUUAAUUCCCACCUGCGAGGAGAACUGCGUAAGUAUGAGACUUAUAAUCCGUGCGAACGUUUCGGUACAAGACGAAAUCGUAUAGACUGUAUGAACUCCGUUAACAAGUUCAAGGAAAUCCCUGUAGAUGAUCGUGGUCCCUGUAAAACAAUUCAUGCUUAUCGCUGUCACGCUAAAUUCUUCGAGUUCGAGAACUGUCGAGUGUGGGUCACGGGACCGGGAAUACCAACGCAAGAAAGGAAAACAUUGAAUUGGUGUGUGAAAAGCGCUCUUAAUCCCGGAUGGGAGACCCAAAAAAAAAAGUCCUCAUGGAAAUUCUGGAAAAAAUCCAAUCCCAAGAAAAAAAGUAAACAGGGCUGAUUAUCAUCUGUCUCACGCACGAAUGAGAUUUAAACUAAAUACCCUCCCCCUCCCUUUUUGUAAAUGCGUGCGUGAUGUAGGUAUAUCAACUACAAUUGACUGUAUUAACCCAUUGACUGAAAGCGACGAGUGGGACUCGUUCGCGCUGCGCCGCGCCGGGCCGUAUCUGAAGCGACGACUCCCACUCGUCCUGAGACUUGUCAACACCAUUUGCGUUGUUUUGGGUGUCUCCCGAUAGACAGUGCCACUUGGCAACAUUAUUUGCGUUGUUUUGGGUGUCUCCCGAUAGGAGCGCCACAUAUUUUCCCGAUCUGGUCCAUUAUUUCCCCGAUUAUACGGUAAUUUUCUAGUUUAGAAAAUAACCCUCAUUUUUAUUUUGCUUGGAAUUUUCUAGUUUUUCUUUGACGUCACGCUUUCUAUUUUAUUUGUUUCGCACUGGUUGCAGUUUUAUUUUUUGCACUCUAUCUUAUAAUAUAAGUAAUCUGCGUUUCCUCUUGGGUUUGCAAACCCUUUUCUCUUGUUGCAUGCUGUUUUUUAACAAAAAUACAUGAUUUUCCCUAAUUUUCCAUUUUUUUCCAAUUUUUUCUCACACAUUUCAAGAACACAGAUGUAUAAAAAUGGAAGUCAUAUUCAUUAACAGGCAAUUUUUCUCCUUUUAU
rnacentral:lncRNA from 1 species